rnacentral:rRNA from 1 species
UACGUAGGGGGCAAGCGUUGUCCGGAAUCAUUGGGCGUAAAGAGCGCGUAGGCGGCCCGGUAAGUCCGCUGUAAAAGUCCAGGGCUCAACCCUGGAAAGCCGGUGGAUACUGUCGGGCUAGAGUCCGGAAGAGGAGACUGGAAUUCCUGGUGUAGCGGUGAAAUGCGCAGAUAUCAGGAGGAACACCAAUUGCGAAGGCAGCUCGCUGGGACGUUACUGACGCUGAGACGCGAAAGCGUGGGGAGCAAACAGG